UACGUAGGUGGCAAGCGUUAUCCGGAUUUAUUGGGUGUAAAGGGCGUGUAGGCGGGAGCGCAAGUCAGAUGUGAAAACUCAGGGCUCAACCCUGAGCCUGCAUUUGAAACUGUGCUUCUUGAGUGCUGGAGAGGCAAUCGGAAUUCCGUGUGUAGCGGUGAAAUGCGUAGAUAUACGGAGGAACACCAGUGGCGAAGGCGGAUUGCUGGACAGUAACUGACGCUGAGGCGCGAAAGCGUGGGGAGCAAACAGG
rnacentral:rRNA from 1 species